GAUGAAGAACGUAACGAAAUGCGAUAAGUAGUGUGAAUUGCAGAAUUUAGUGAAUCAUCGAAUCUUUGAACGCACAUUGCGCCCUUUGGUAUUCCUUAGGGCAUGCCUGUUCGAGCGUCAUCUACACCCUCAAGCACAGCUUGGUGAUGGGCGCCUGUCCCGCCCCCCACGGGGGCGCGGACUCGCCUCAAAUGCAUUGGCGGCCGGCGACCUGGCUUCGAGCGCAGCAGAAACGCGUACUCGGGGACCGGGCGCCCGCUCCCAGAAGCCAACCCACCCAGUUUGACCUCGGAUCAGGUAGGGAUACCCGCUGAACUUAAGCAUAUCAAUAAGCGGAGGA
rnacentral:misc_RNA from 1 species